GCACAAACAGAACCAAACAAGAACCAACACUUUGCUCCUACUUACUACUAAACUAAACUCCUCUCUCUCUCUCUCUCUCUCUCUCUCCUCGACUUUCUUCCAUCGGGGUUCGCAAUUUGCUGCGCCACUCUCUUAGCUUCUUUGCACAUCGCUUCUUCUAAUCUUCGUUCCUGCUGCUCGCCGGAGCAUCUUGUGUCGUUUCCCAAAACCUAGUUGCACUCUUGUCGGUUGCAUCUCAGAUUGUGACACAACCGGUGCAGAUCAGGGCUCUUAUUGAGAAUAUCUAUACCUUCCAGAGUGCUCUAUCAACUCCAAGGUCGUAGCUCGAAGCAGUUUCAAUAAAAUAUCCCUCUCUUAAGGAUUAUUUCAAUGGAGAAUCACUCUUUGCCGCCAAGCACUAGCACCACGUCCCUUGUGUUUCCAUCUUUAGUGGCUGGAGGAGUCAAACCUGAAGCUGCUUUGGUCAUGGAUUGGUCAGUUGAGGAGCAGUAUGUAUUAGAGAACGGCCUUGCAAAGUUGAAAGAUGAACCCAAGAUCUCAAAGUAUGUAAAGAUCGCUGCAGCUCUACCAGAUAAAACUGUAAGGGAUGUAGCACUGAGGUGCAGAUGGAUGGCGAGAAAACGGAGAAAAAGAGAGGAAAACAGUGCUGGGAAGAACAUUAGCAAUAGAAAGGUGGUGGAUACAUCCCCAGAACUGAACAUGCUAGCCAAUUUGCCACAACAAAAUGCUUUAUAUGCCAACUACCACAGUACACACAUGCCUUUUGAAGAUAUAAGCGAUGCAGUAUUGGAUCUUGUACAGCAAAACGCUCAAGCUUUUAGUCAAAUUUCAUACAACCUCUCUGCAUUCAAGCUGCAGGAUAACAUCAGUCUCCUUUAUCAGGCAAGAAAUAACAUCAGCGCCAUUCUCAAUGACAUGAAGGAGAUGCCUGGUAUCAUGAGUCGGAUGCCGCCUCUACCUGUUUCAAUUAACGAUGAUCUUGCAAGCCGUUUAUUGCCGAGUACAACACAGCCAAUAUCGUACACCAUGCAACCAAACAUCCACAUGAAGCAAGAGCCGAGAAGUUGAUUGAGGAAAAAUGGAUUUUGACCAAUGCUAUAAAGAAAAUAGCACAAGUACUUGGUUAAGUGGCAAUGUUUCCGUGAUGAUCGACAUGACAUAGACACACAAGGGUUUAUCAACUGCAGACACUGCUCCAGAACAAAGACGAGAUCUGACACUCGGCACUGGUAGAACAGUUGAGCUCUCGGGUAGUUUGACUGAGAAGACUGAACUACAAGCAAAGGUAACAAUUCAAGGACCUUCAGAACUCAGAACGUGCGAUCCGGACUUCCUUACUUCUCGCAAAAAGAUAAGUAUCAAACUUGCAUUCUCUCCUUCUGACUUGUCUAGUAACUGGAACUUUAUCAAACCCUGUUUGUAGACUUCUGAUAUGCUCUUAACCAGCGCUCUGAUACCACUUGUGAAGGAUAUAGAUUGAUCGUUUUGAGCUAGUCAGAUUAACCUAGUCUAGUACACAAGGGAUUUAACGAGUUCCUGGCCUCGACCAGUACGUGUGGGAUCUCUUGCCCACAAACUUCACUAGAAUCAAACAGGAGUUUACAAACACUAAUAGAUCUCUCUCUGCUAUGUCUCAAUCUCAUGUGUUCAAGCACAACCUCAAGAUAGAGCUGCAGCCAACAACAAGAAGAAAUAAAACCGGGCUGGAUAGUAUGGGUUUGGGCCGAGUCACUUAGCUCACACGGCUAGGUUCAAAAACGGUAACCAAGCGAUCGCUACGUGUUACGCGACGCUUAGUGACGUUAUAAUCUAGCUAGCGCGAGGAAAAGCAUAAGGAAACGUGACGUAAUGGCGUUGAAUAUGUUUUUAACUGCGGCUGUGUCUGAUUAUGGUGCAUGUGUCGAAGGGUUUAUUAUGCGAACCAAGUUAAUACGGUUCAGAAUGUAGCGGUUGAUUUGAGAAAAAUUAGUAGUAAUUG